rnacentral:lncRNA from 1 species
UUUUUUUGUUCAUUGGUCUUAGGAAAGGACGGAAAAAAAUAUGUCUUGAUGUUCAGAUAUCUGAGCCUUGAAAUAGACAUUCACCAACUGUGGACCAUUGUGCGAAUGAACACUUUUCGAAACUCCAGUACGGAAAAAAGCUGCUGGAGGGUUGCAGUUGAGGAUGUGUUGAACAUUAACUUGAAUUUAUCAUCUGUUUGAACCGUGUAAACUGCAUUCUUCUAGCAUCUUCGGCACGGCAAUGCAAGUUCUUGGAUUGUGUCAACCAAUAACCCUUUGUAUUACGACAUACUUCAUCUUUACAACCCCUCGAUGCGAUGAAUUCAACUCAAGUUAAAACAUCGCAGAUAACAAUCAAUUCCUGUAGGAUCCACUGUCCUUUCUUUGGAUUUGUUCCAUUUACCAGAUUAAAUAGCCUCAACUCGAGCUCAAAGGUCGUUAUCCUUCUGUAGAGCACGAAAGAGAGAAGAUUCCGAUGAGCACGACCUUGAGAUAGCUCUACAUUGGAACAUCCAAACACAGAGGUUCUUCAACGUAUACGUGGAAAGGGCAUUUUCGACACAUUUAGAUGAUAGAUAUCAUAACUAAACGAAGACAAUAACGUAGAAAAAUGUGUGAGACGAGUUAAAACAAUACUUGGGAAUGGCCUUACUUGGAUUGGGAAUAUACUGGAGUGUUUUAUGAUCCAUCUUGAUCUUAAAUUGGCUACAAAUUGAUAAUAGUUGGCCUCUUCUUAUAUAAUUUUAUCGAAGAAAACACAACUGGAUACUCCACAACUUUCUCUAGCUGGAUUAGAAUGAUCUUAAGACUAACAAACGAGGCUUUG